GCAACCUUUUUGGAAGUCAAAUGCUGAUUAUAAAAGAGUUUCUCUUGAAGGUUGCGGCCUCUUCUUUUCCUCUUCCAUCGGGGGGAUCUUCUCCCUGCUAAGACUGAUAAGCGGUUUUGCGUCAGUUUAAUCCUUUUUAUUUUUAUUUUUUUCCGAGCAGGAUCUGUACACCACGAUGGCUGGUCUUUCCCGGAAGAACUUCUCCGUCAUUGACGCCAAUUCUACUUCAGCCCCCAGUACUGAUACAUUUGACAACACAUUCAACAACUGUGCUUUUAGUAAUGAUCAGUACUACUUCAUGCAUUCCAUGGAAAUACUUACAGCUCUUCUGGGGUUUCCAGCCAACCUGAGGGUGUUAAGGGUCCUUCUGUGGGCCCAGGUGGAGCGGUCGACCUCUGACCUCUAUACUGGCAGCCUAGCCUUCAUGGACGCAAUGUACUGUGGGUGUCUCCCAAUUGAUGUAACAAUGUAUUAUAUUUAUAACAGCAGUAAUGCAACAUACAUGUUCAUGGGAUUUUUUUUUCACCUGAAUGAGUUGGGCGUGCCGCCUCUCCUUGCCUGUAUCUGUUUGGACCGUUACGUAGCGGUCCUGCACCCGACUACCUUCAUGCGUCUCCGUGACAACAAGCUAAGGAUCCUCAACACUUUGGUGAUAUGGUCCUGUGCUCUGUCCUACUCUUUAUUUGUCUGCCUAGAUCAAAGUGUAAAUGUGAAUUAUUACAUCGCUUUCACAGUUUGCAUUGGUUGCUUCCUCCUCAUCAUCUUCUGCAACCUGUCGCUGCUCAAAGCCCUGAUGGACUCUGGGCCCGUGGCCCGCGACAGCAUGCACCCUGUGAAGAAGAAAGCCUUCAUCACUGUGCUUAUCAUCUUCAUGAUCAUCACUGUCAGCUUCCUCCCUGCUCUAAUCUUAUAUGUUUAUGAAAUAUUUUUUAUUAAUUCUGAAAAUUUCUUCCUUUAUUUCUGCCUGUAUCCUGCAUGCACUGCCUUAUUUAUCCUAAGAACUGCCCUUCAAGCUCUUUUCUUCCUCUACAAUGCCAGAAAGCUGCCC
rnacentral:lncRNA from 1 species